GACGAAGGGGGGCUAGCGUUGUUCGGAAUUACUGGGCGUAAAGCGCGCGUAGGCGGUCUUUCAAGUCAGGAGUGAAAGCCCCGGGCUCAACCCGGGAAUAGCUCUUGAUACUGUUGGACUUGAGUCCGGGAGAGGAUAGUGGAAUUCCCAGUGUAGAGGUGAAAUUCGUAGAUAUUGGGAAGAACACCAGUGGCGAAGGGCGGCUAUCUGGACCGGUACUGACGCUGAGGCGCGAAAAGCGUGGGGGAGCAAACAGG
rnacentral:rRNA from 1 species